GCAAGUCGAACGGAAGUCGUUAUGAUGAUUUCAACACUGACAGAGAACUUGUUCAAAGAAAGUAGAGAUUGACUUAUAACAAUGGCUUUAGUGGCGGACUGGUGAGUAACACGUGAGCAACCUGCCUAUCAGAGGGGAAUAACAGUGAGAAAUCAUUGCUAAUACCGCAUAUGCCAUAAAUAUCACAUGAUGAAAGUGGGAAAGGAGUAAUCCGCUGAUAGAUGGGCUCGCGUCUGAUUAGACAGUUGGUGGGGUAACGGCCUACCAAGUCGACGAUCAGUAGCCGGACUGAGAGGUUGAACGGCCACAUUGGGACUGAGAUACGGCCCAGACUCCUACGGGAGGCAGCAGUCGGGAAUAUUGCGCAAUGGAGGAAACUCUGACGCAGUGACGCCGCGUAUAGGAAGAAGGUUUUCGGAUUGUAAACUAUUGUCGUUAGGGAAGAUACAAGACAGUACCUAAGGAGGAAGCUCCGGCUAACUACGUGCCAGCAGCCGCGGUAAUACGUAGGGAGCAAGCGUUAUCCGGAUUUAUUGGGUGUAAAGGGUGCGUAGACGGGAAAGCAAGUUAGUUGUGAAAUCCCUCGGCUUAACUGAGGAACUGCAACUAAAACUACUUUUCUUGAGUGUUGGAGAGGAAAGUGGAAUU
rnacentral:rRNA from 1 species